rnacentral:rRNA from 1 species
UACGGGGGGGGCAAGCGUUGUUCGGAAUUACUGGGCGUAAAGGGCUCGUAGGUGGCCAACUAAGUCGGACGUGAAAUCCCUCGGCUUAACCGGGGAACUGCGUCCGAUACUGGUUGGCUUGAGUUUGGGAGAGGGAUGCGGAAUUCCAGGUGUAGCAGUGAAAUGCGUAGAUAUCAGAAGGAACAUCAGUGGCGAAGGCGGCUUUCUGGACCAAUACUGACGAUCAGGUGCGAAAGCGUGGGGAGCAAACAGG